rnacentral:rRNA from 1 species
GUACGCUGGCGGCACGCCUAACACAUGCAAGUCGAACGCAGUAGCAAUACUGAGUGGCAAACGGGUGAGUAUAAUGUGGGAAUCUGCCUUUUGGUUUGGAAUAACACGGGGAAACUUGUGCUAAUACCGAAUAAGCCCUUACGGGGAAAGUUUUAACGCCGAAAGAUGAGCCCGCACUUGAUUAGCUAGUUGGUAAGGUAAAAGCUUACCAAGGCAACGAUCAAUAGCUGUUCUUAGAGGAAGACCAGCCACAUUGGGACUGAGACACGGCCCAGACUCCUACGGGAGGCAGCAGUGGGGAAUCUUGCACAAUGGGGGAAACCCUGAUGCAGCGAUGCCGCGUGAGUGAAGAAGGCCCUUGGGUUGUAAAACUCUUUCGUCGGGGAAGAAAAUGACUGUACCCGAAUAAGAAGGUCCGGCUAACUUCGUGCCAGCAGCCCGCGGUAAUACGAAGGGACCUAGCGUAGUUCGGAAUUACUGGGCUUAAAGAGCUCGUAGGUGGUUAAAAAAGUUGAUGGUGAAAUCCCAAGGCUUAACCUUGGAACUGCCAUCAAAACUUUUUAGCUAGAGUGUGAUAGAGGUAAGUGGAAUUUCUAGUGUA